GAUGAACGCUGGCGGCGUGCUUAACACAUGCAAGCUGAACGGAUAGGCCUUGCUUUUGUGGGGUGCUCGAGUGGCUAACGGGUGAGUAACACGCGUGUAACCUGCCCUUGACUUUGGGAUAACUUCCGGAACCUGGGGUUCCUACCGGAUAGGUGCUCCUGCUGCCUGGUGGGGGUUGGAAAGUUUCCGCGGUUGGGGAUGGAUUCGCGGCGUAUCAGAUUGUAGGUGGGGCCGUGGCUUAUUAACGCUUCGGCGGGUAGCCGGCCCGAGAGGGUGACUGGCCAGAUAGGGACUGAGAUACGGCCCAGACUGCUACGGGAGGCAGCAAGGGGGAAGGAAGCACAAUGGGCGGAAGCAUGAUGCAGCAACGCCGCGUGCAGGAUGACGGACGGCGGGUUUUAAACCACUGUCGCCAGUGACGAAGAGUGAAUGACGGUAAUGGGUAGAGAAGCACCGGCUAACUACGUG
rnacentral:rRNA from 1 species